rnacentral:rRNA from 1 species
AUUGAACGCUGGCGGCAGGCCUAACACAUGCAAGUCGAGCGGAUGAAGGGAGCUUGCUCCUGGAUUCAGCGGCGGACGGGUGAGUAAUGCCUAGGAAUCUGCCUUGUAGUGGGGUAUAACGUCCGGAAACGGGCGCUAAUACCGCAUACGUCCUGAGGGAGAAAGUUGGGGAUCUUCGGACCUCACGCUAUCAGAUGAGCCUAGGUCGGAUUAGCUAGUUGGUGGGGUAAAGGCCUACCAAGGCGACGAUACGUAACUGGUCUGAGAGGAUGAUAAGUCACACUGGAACUGAGACACGGUCCAGACUACUACGGGAGGGAGCAGUGGGGAAUAUUGGACAAUGGGCGAGAGCCUGAUACAGCAAUGGCGCGUGUGUGAAGAAGGUCUUCGGAUUGUAAAGCACUUCAAGUUGGGAGGAAGGGCAGUAAGUUAAUACCUUGCUGUUUUGACGUUAACAACAGAAUAAGCACCGGCUAACUUCGUG